rnacentral:rRNA from 1 species
AGUGGAUGGGGAGCAACCUAGUUGUGAGUGCGGAAAGGUAGUGCCAAGAAAAGCUGUCAGAAUGAUGAGAAUUGAGUCCCGGUACCCGAGACCGACACAGGUAGGCAAGUAGAGAAUACUAAGGGGCGCGAGGUAACUCUCUCCAAGGAACUCGGCAAAAUGACCCCGUAACUUAGGGAGAAGGGGUGCCACCGAGAGGUGGUCGCAGUGAAGAGGCCCAGGCGACUGUUUAGCAAAAACAUAGGUCUCUGCAAACUCGAAAGAGGAAGUAUAGGGGCUGACGCCUGCCCAGUGCCGGAAGGUUAAAGAAGUUGGUCAGGAGAAAUCUGAAGCUGGCGACUGAAGCCCCGGUGAACGGCGGCCGUAACUAUAACGGUCCUAAGGUAGCGAAAUUCCUUGUCGGGUAAGUUCCGACCCGCACGAAAGGCGUAACGAUCUGGGCGCUGUCUCGGAGAGAGGCUCGGCGAAAUAGGAUUGUCUGUGAAGAUACGGACUACCUGCAUUUGGACAGAAAGACCCUAUGAAGCUUUACUGUAGCUUGAAAUUGUGUUCGGGCUUCCUGUGGGCAGGAUAGGUGGGAGGCUAGGAAGGUCUGCUUGUGGGCAGAUUGGAGCCAACCGUGAGAUACCACUCUCAGGAGGCUAGAAUUCUAACUUAAUUAAGGACAGUUUCAGGUGGGCAGUUUGACUGGGGCGGUCGCCUCCAAAAAGGUAACGGAGGCGUACAAAGGUUCCCUCACACUGGUUGGAAAUCAGUGGCAGAGUGCAAAGGCAGAAGGGAGCUUGACUGCGAGACGGACAAGUCGAGCAGGGUGGAAACACGGUCUUAGUGAUCCGACGGUGCUGUGUGGAAGGGCCGUCGCUCAACGGAUAAAAGUUACUCUAGGAUAACAGGCUGAUCUCCCCCAAGAGUUCACAUCGACGGGGAGGUUUGGCACCUCGAUGUCGGCUCAUCGCAACCUGGGGCGGAAGUACGUCCCAAGGGUUGGGCUGUUCGCCCAUUAAAGCGGUACGUGAGCUGGGUUCAGAACGUCGUGAGACAGUUCGGUCCAUAUCCGAUGUAGGCGUGAGAAUAUUGAGAGGAGCCUUCCUUAGUACGAGAGGACCGGGAAGGACGCACCGCUGGUGUACCUGUUAUGAUGCCAAUCGUAAACGCAGGGUAGCCAAGUGCGGAGAGGAUAACCGCUGAAAGCAUCUAAGUGGGAAGCCCACCUCAAGAUGAGUAUUCUGGUGUAAGGUCACGGGGAGACGACCCGUAGAUAGGCACGAGGUGGAAGUGCAGAGAUGUAUGAAGCCGAAGUGUACUAAUAGACCGUCGGCUUGACC